rnacentral:lncRNA from 1 species
AAAAAUAAGAAAAAAGAUAAUUGAAUUUCUUGGUCAAUCACAUCAACUCUGUUUGGCCCUCCUUUGUAUACAUAUAUAGAUAUGGUAAACUCCAUCCGAAAAAAUCCCCUAAUUCUUUGACAUCGAAAAUUACGACGCUCCUCCUCCAUAGUUUCAUCGGAAAUUUUGAGGAGAUCAAUCGAGUUUCCAGGCUCCGAAAAAUCAUCGGAAAUUACCGGGCUCCGAAAAAUCGACAAUCUCCUCCCGGCUCGUCCAUAGUCGAAAAUCUCCUCUGUUCCGACGAUCGAAAAUCGCUUCCAGGCUCAACAACUCCUCCAUAAUCGGCCGCACCAGAGGCGGCGUGCUAAACCUUUAGAGUUUCUCCAAAUCUGAAUCGGUAAAUAUAUUCUUAGCAGCUUUUUUAAUUUUUAGCAGCUUUUUUAAUUUGUUUUUCUUUAAAUUUCUGGGUUGGUUGUAGCAGCUCAACUUGAAUUUUUGUUAAAUUUCUGGGUUGGUUUUUUUAAUUUGUUUUUGUUUAAAUUUCUGGGUUGAAGGCUUAAAUUUCUGGUUUUUGUUUAAAAUUCUGUGGCCAAAGCAAUGGUAUUGCUAAGAUUUCCACCAAUUGAGUGUUUGAAAGAAGUGUUUGCCUGUAAUUCUGUAAUUUCUGUAAUUUCUGCUGUUUGAAAGAAGUGUUUCGAGGCUUCUUCUGUAAUUUCCUGUUCCUAAACAGUUUUAAGACCUUUAGAAACAUGUAUUUAUAAAGUUAUAAACAAAAUUCAGUUUGUAGUUGAUGAAAUGAGGUGCUAAAUCUGUGCCCUUUUUUACACGAACGUCGGUAUAGUGUGAUUUUAGUACAUUGCGGUACCCUUUUAAUAAUAGGUAAACAUUUAAAUGUUUGGGGUACUUCAAAUCUGUUGUGCAUACCUUGACCAUUCCAGUCUCAUUAUCUGUGAAUCCAUGAGAUAAUCUGCAUGAACAAAAUUAGUUUAACUUUUGUUGUUCUCUUGUCCUGUGUUUCAUAUAAUAACUGAACUAAAACACUGACCUCAUCAGCUUCUGGAUCAGUUGGAUGGUUAGCAGCCUCAACAAUGAAUUUGGCUUUAAUGUCUUUUGCAUUAUCCCUUUAAAUAGAUUUAAAUGUAUCAUAAAUCUGAAAUGACAAGAGCUUGUUAAUAACUACUUAGUUUCAUAGAAAUAGCAUGAGAAGAACCUGUUCAUUACUCCACCAAGGGCAGCUAGUAUAAGAACAUCGCAGUCUUCUACCAGUAUAGAAUUAGGUUCUAUUGAAUUCGCGCUAUGGAAACCUUUAACUCAGCGAUUUUCUUUCACAUGUUUGAGUAGACUUGCUAUGUUGAUUCCAUUUUUGCCUUGUUACUGAUCAUCUAUUAAGCAAUUCAAUUUGGAAAUUCUUCUGUCCUGUCUCCCAUAUCGAUUGAAGCAAACAUAUAUACCUUGUGUGUCUUGAGUUUGAUAGCGGAUGGUCCAUUUUUUCUGAGCUAGUUCCCUGGGACCAUUGGGUGAUGGAGCAAAAUGACCACUUGACCUUUUCUUCCUCUUCUCUGAAUCUGUUUCUCAUUCCUUUGUUUUUGUUGAUAAAUGUGACUACUGACUUCUUGUAGAAUCUAAGCUUUGCUAAAUAUGGGAGUAUACUGAAGUGAUUGCUAGGUGUGUGUAAUGUGUUUCUGAAGUAGGAUCUUUUAUUUGGUGAAAAUAUAUACAUGCAUAUGAAUCAAACAUUUCUUCUCUUCUCUAGAGCCCGUUUGGAUUAGCUGGAAAAAAGUAGCUUUUAAGCACAACUGCUUAAAAGCAACUUUUAAGUGCUGAAACUUGUUUUAUAAAUAAGCAGUUACCUAUUUGGAUAAAAGUGCUGAAGCUUAAAAAAAGUUGUUGAAAUGUUUGGUAAACAAGUGCUAGCAAGAAUUUUUUUCUAUUAAAAAGGCAGAAAUAUCCUUAGAGUUGUUAACAUUAUAAAGGAGCUGAUUACUACAGUAUAUUUGAUUUAUAUAAUAAAUGUAAAUAAAAAAUAAUUUAUAUUUUAAUUUAAUUUCAAUUUAAAUGAUUACUUAAGAUAGUUUUUACAAAUAUAAUUCUUGAACGCUCAUUUAUAGUUUGUACAAAAGAGGAAAGAAAUUGAAAAUCUGGGUAAAAAUGGUUCUAUUCAGCCAAGACUGCCUGUUAAUUCAUUUUUUCCGAUGUGCAUGCAAGGAAAAAUAAUAUGACCGUUGAGUAUGCUUCUAGCUGGUUCUCGUGGGAUGUUUCUUAUAGCUUCCCUAGUGGCUGAAGCAUUCUUGUUAUUUAAGGGUUAAGAUAACUUAAGCUGAUAAUAAACUUAUGGAAUUCUGAAUCCAUUUAGCAUGGUGAUCAAUGUACUGAUAAUUUGUAAAUUCAAAAAGUUAUCCAGGAUGAGAUGUCAUCAGAUCAUGCUACAGAAGAUCCAAACACAUACAAAAUAACAAGAUAACAUUAAUGUUUCUCAAUUGGAAUGUAAAAUAAUAAAUAUUAGUGUUUUAAAAGAUUCAUACAACUACAAGUAUCAAGCUUCACAAAUUUCAUUAGCAAUCAAAUCGCGAAGACCCAUCCAAAUAAGAUCACUUUGCUCUUCCACAUUUUCCACAUUUAUAUUGUUAUUAGCUCUCAACGAUGUACCAACGUCAGGGUCAACCGAUGGAACAUAUCUCUCAUUCUCAGCUGCUCGGAAUGCAUCAUCCAUAUUGCAUUUCUUUCUAAUAUGGUUAUGAAUGGCCAUAGUAGCAAGUACGAUGUCUUUUUGAGUGUCAAUGUGAUAGAAAGACAUGUCUCGCAAAAUAGACCAUCUUGCUUUCCAAACCCCAAAUGUGCGCUCUACAAUAUUUCUACAAGAAGAAUGCAAAUAGUUAAAUUUUUCAAUUCGCCCUCUUGGUUCUCGCAAUUGUCUUGUUGCACCGCGACGGAAUUGUGCUAGGUGAUAUCUCACAUUAUCUCCUUUGUAUGGAGCCAUAUAUCCCUUCAUAUGCGGAUAUCAUGCAUCAACUAGAUAAUACUUAUUUCCAAUUGGACGUGGAAAGUUGAGUUCUAGUUUACGAAGGGUCUCACCAAAUAUACGACUAUCGUGAGCCGCUCCUUCCCACCCAGCCCAUGCAGAUCUAAAACACAUUAAAAUCUACGACAGCAAGAAUAUUUUGAGUCGGAUAACCUUUACGUACAAUAUAUAGUAUCUCUUGACCUUGCAAUAAUUUUGCUUUAACAUGUGUGCCAUCAAGUGCACCAAUACAAUCCUACACACAUUUACAAGUAUAAUUUAACUUAAGUUAGUAAUACUUAUAAAAGUUAAGUUAUAAGUUUAAUAAAAAAGAAUUAUGUAAAAAUAUUUCUUACUCUAAAGAAAGGGAGAUAUCGACCAUUACAUGGCUUGUGAGCUCCUGCGCCAUCAUUAUAAUUUUGAUGUGGUCUAAUUAUAUCUCUUGCAAGCUCACAAAUGACCUUCAAAACACUAUGAACGUGUCUAUGAAUUGUUUCUCCCAAAUGUUGAAAGAUUUCCUGUAUCAAUUGGUUUCCAGCUCCAUGUGCACAAGUCAUCAAGAACAUGCCUAACAUCUCGUGUAUAGACAUUCCACAUGUGGGUUUAAGCCCAUACUUUUCAGUUAAGUCAUUCGAUAGAUCAACAAACACCGACUUCCUCAAUCGAAAAUUUUCAUAACAACGAGUCUCGUUUCCUCUUAAUAUCUCUUGAAUAAAUACAUUUCCAGAGAGACUAGAUGUACGACAAGGUUCCUUGCAUAGGUAUUUUUUGUAAUACAUCAAAAUCAAUUUACCUGCUAUUUGACAUAAAGUCGUCCAUUCCUUCUCAUCUUGCUCCCUCUGUAUUUCCUCCAGUUCUUCUUCAUCGUCUGACGAAUAACUUGGGUAAGGAUCUACUAUGUCACUAGAGUUCGAACUCUCCAUUUUACUGAAAAUGAAAACAUAAAGUUAACUGAAGCUUUCUAAACAUAACCUUAACUGAAGCUUUACAAACAUAAAGUAAAGGGAAGCUUAACAAUAGUAAGCUUAACAGAAGCUUAACGAUAGAAGCUCAACAAACAGAAGCUUUAAUUCAAUAAAAGUUUAAUGAUACAAUCACAACCUCUAAACAAGAAGAAAUACAUAAAGUUUACACAUAAAACCAUAAUAACGUUUACACAUACAAUCACAAUAUAGAACAUGGAAUACUAGAAAUAUUCAACCACAACGAUCAAUUAUCCAUUUUUCUUGAGGUAUAACUGAUAAUUAAACUCUAACCAAGACUUGCGAGCUUCAUCAAUAGGCAUCCCCAAAAAUAUCUGCCGGUUAUUUUUCUUACGGAACAUAUUCAUAGUAAAAUUGUAAAUUUCACUCCCAGCUAGAAUAUCAGGAAUUUGUCCCAACGUGCCAAUACACUUCGCGAUGGAUGUCUCGUCAAUUGCAGGAGAUGUAGCAGUGCUUUUGCUAGACAUAAACUCUAUGAGAGAGUGUAUGUCCUCUUUUAUUAAUGUUGCAGCUGUUUUUUCUUUACUCUUUCUUACUUGACUACUGGUGCUAACACCAUCAGUUGAUUUUUGUCUUUGUAGUGAUGGCUCUGGA